rnacentral:rRNA from 1 species
UACAGAGGUCUCGAGCGUUAGGCGGAAUCACUGGGCUUAAAGCGUGUGUAGGCGGAUCGGUAAGUACCUUGUGAAAUCCCACGGCUUAACCGCGGAACUGCUUGGUAUACUGCCAGUCUUGAGCCAGCUAGGGGCUACCGGAACAAAUGGUGGAGCGGUGAAAUGCGUAGAUAUCAUUUGGAACGCCAAUGGUGAAAACAGGUAGCUGGGGCUGUGCUGACGCUGAGACACGAAAGCCAGGGGAGCAAACGGG